ACAAACUUGGUCAUUUAGAGGAAGUAAAAGUCGUAACAAGGUUUCCGUAGGUGAACCUGCGGAAGGAUCAUUAUUGAAUAUUCAUGAUGGGUUGUAGCUGGCUCUUAGGAGCAUGUGCACACUUGUCUUGACUCUAUUCAUCCACCUGUGCACCUUUUGUAGUCUUGGGAGUAGAGAGCAGUCAACUAUCGGAUGGCUUAAUAGUCAUUUCGGAUGUGAGUAAUGCUGAGUGUGAAAGCAUACAGCUUUUCUCAAAGUGACUUGCAAACCUCUCUUUCAAGUCUAUGUAUUCAUAUACCACAUAGUAUGUUGUAGAAUGUGAUCAAUGGGCCUUUGUGCCUAUAAUAAUCAUAUACAACUUUCAGCAACGGAUCUCUUGGCUCUCGCAUCGAUGAAGAACGCAGC
rnacentral:misc_RNA from 1 species